AAGUCGUAACAAGGUUUCCGUAGGUGAACCUGCGGAAGGAUCAUUAACACGUUAUCCACGUAUCAACCAAUCGAGAACUUGUUUUCACGUCUCCCUUUGCAAUUUGAAUGAAUUGGCUAACCAGUUUGAGGGAAUUGAUGUGGAUUGCAUUCAUUUGCAAUCGGCCUUCCUGGUAUACUUAUGAGCUAUUGAAAAAUAGUUUGUUAACAAUUGUAUCUUAUUGCUGAAAGGCCAAAUUUCUUUCGAUAUUUUGAUCUCCAUCAUGAUCAAUAAAGUAUUGAAGGAGAAAACCUUAUAAAACUAUUUUCACCACCUUUUUGCUAGUUGACUUUUUAUAUGUGAUUGUUUUGCUUAAUUGCAAUGUAGUCGCACGUUUAAUUACUUGAACGUUAAAAAAUACAACUCUUAGCAAUGGAUAUCUUGGUUCUC
rnacentral:misc_RNA from 1 species